GAACGACCGUGGGGAAUGAGGUCCAUUUUGUCUGCAACCCUGGCUUUGCACUGACCGGGUCUGAGACUCGGGUCUGCCUGGAGAACAGGACCUGGAGUGGACGACAGGCCUUCUGCAAAAGCACCAGUGAUUGUGCCAGUCGCCCCUGUGCCAAUGGAGGGACCUGCGUGGAUGCCGUCCACCGCUACAGCUGCUUGUGCCCCAGCGGCUGGUCGGGGAGCAACUGCCAGGCCCCCCUUCACACCUAUAGGGCAGCUGUGAGCAACGCAACGUUCAGCCGUCAACCCCGCUGCGUUGAGAAUCCGGGGGGCUCCCGCCAAUGCAGCUGCGACGCUG